rnacentral:rRNA from 1 species
GCAGGUUGAAGCGCGGGUAAGACCGCGUGGAGGACCGAACCCACCUGGGUUGAAAACCGGGGGGAUGACCUGGGGCUAGGGGUGAAAGGCCAAUCAAAUUCCGUGAUAGCUGGUUCUCUCCGAAAUGCAUUUAGGUGCAGCGUCGGUCGAUUGCGUCGCGGGGGUAGAGCUACCGGAUGCUUGCGGGCCCUUGUUGGGUACCAACAGCAGCCGAACUCCGAAUACCGUUGACGUGUAUUCCGGCAGUGAGUCGGCGGGGGAUAAGCUCCGUCGUCGAGAGGGAGACAGCCCAGACCGUCGUCUAAGGUCCCGAAGCGUGUGCUAAGUGGGAAAGGAUGUGGAGUCGCAUAGACAGCCAGGAGGUUGGCUCAGAAGCAGCCAUCCUUGAAAGAGUGCGUAACAGCUCACUGGUCUAGUGGUUCCGCGCCGACAAUGUAGCGGGGCUCAAGCACACCACCGAAGACGCGGCAGCAAUCUUCAUGGUUGCUGGGUAGGAGAGCGUCCUGCGAGGGGCGAAGCGGCCGGGUAACCGUGCCGUGGACUUCGUGGGAGUGAGAAUGCAGACAUGAGUAGCGAGAGACGGGUGAGGAUCCCGUCCGCUGGAUGACCAAGGGUUCCGGGGCCACGUUCGUCGUCCCCGGGUGAGUCGGGUCCUAAGGCGAGGCCGACAGGCGUAGUCGAAUGGAUGAACGGGUGGAUAUUCCCGUACCGACCAUGGACCGGCAAAACCGAGACGGUGAGUACUAACCUCCGCCUCGUGGUGGUUCCUUCCUUCGGGUUGGUGUCGCCGCGUGGCGUUGGGAGCGUAGCCGUAGUAGGUCAGCGCAGGGGUGACACGGAAUGGGAGCCGGCCGCGGAGGUGGUUUUCCGUGGUCAAGCACGCAGCCAGUCAUGUAGGCAAAUCCGCAUGGCGCGCAUGGCGAGGUGUGAUGAUGGGAGCCGUUAUGGCUCGAUAUCCGGUUGUCCAGGCCGUCGAGAAAAGCCUCGGCGUGAGGGCCAUGGCCGCCCGUACCCCAAACCGACACUGGUGGUCAGGUAGAGAAUACCAAGGCGAUCGAGCGAAUCCUGGUCAAGGAACUCGGCAAAUCACUCCCGUGCCUUCGGUAUAAGGGAGACCCGCUGGGGUGAACCGGCUAGCCCGGGGAGCUUUGGUGGGUGGCACAGACCAGGGGGUAGCGACUGUUUACCAAAAACACAGGUGCAUGCGAAGGCGAAAGCCGCUGUAUAUGCACUGACGCCUGCCCGGUGCCGGAAGGUUAAGAGGAUCCGUCAAUCCCUUCGGGGACGAAGCGGUGAAUUCAAGCCCCGGUAAACGGCGGUGGUAACUAUAACCAUCCUAAGGUAGCGAAAUUCCUUGUCGGGUAAGUUCCGACCUGCACGAAUGGCGUAACGACUUCCCCACUGUCUCGACCAGGAGCUCGGCGAAAUUGCAGUACGAGUAAAGAUGCUCGUUAAGCGCAGAAGGACGAAAAGACCCCGGGACCUUUACUAUACCUUGGUAUUGGCGUUAGGCGCGGAUUGUGUAGCAUAGGCGGGAGGCUUCGAAGCGGGUGCGCCAGCAUUCGUGGAGCCGCAAGGUGAAAUACCGCUCUGUUCUCGUUUGACGUCUAACCUCGACAAGUCAUCCUUGUCAGGGACAGUGCCUGGCGGGUAGUUCAACUGGGGCGGUUGCCUCCCAAAGAGUAACGGAGGCGCUCAAAGGUCCGCUCAGCCCGGUUGGCAAUCGGGUGUCGAGUGUAAUCGCACAAGCGGGCUUGACUGCGAGGACGACGGUCCGAGCAGGGACGAAAGUCGGAGAUAGUGAUCCGGUGCCGGCGCACGGGCGCGGCAUCGCUCAACGGAUAAAAGGUACCCCGGGGAUAACAGGCUGAUCAUUCCCAAGAGUCCAUAUCGACGGGAUGGUUUGGCACCUCGAUGUCGGCUCGUCGCAUCCUGGGGCUGGAGCAGGUCCCAAGGGUUCGGCUGUUCGCCGAUUAAAGCGGCACGCGAGCUGGGUUCAGAACGUCGUGAGACAGUUUGGUCUCUAUCCUCUGCGCUCGUUGGAAUCCUGAGGAGGCCUGCCCAUAGUACGAGAGGACCUGGGUGGACGAACCUCUGGUAUGCCGGUUGUCGCGCCAGCGGCACGGCCGGUUGGCUACGUUCGGGAGGGAUAACCGCUGAAAGCAUCUAAGCGGGAAGCCUGCUCCAAGAUUAGGAUUCCAUGGAUCUUCGAGAUCCUGUAGCCCGCAUGUUGAACACGUGUUUGAUAGGCCGGAGGUGGAAGCCCCGUGAGGGGUGGAGCCGACCGGUACUAACGGGCGAUGGCGACAUAA